CCUACAGGAGGCAGCAGUGGGGAAUAUUGGGCAAUGGGCGCAAGCCUGACCCAGCAACGCCGCGUGAAGGAAGAAGGCUUUCGGGUUGUAAACUUCUUUUCUCAGGGACGAAGAAAGUGACGGUACCUGAGGAAUAAGCCACGGCUAACUACGUGCCAGCAGCCGCGGGAAUACGUAGGUGGCAAGCGUUAUCCGGAUUUAUUGGGUGUAAAGGGCGUGUAGGCGGGAGCGCAAGUCAGAUGUGAAAACUCAGGGCUCAACCCUGAGCCUGCAUUUGAAACUGUGUUUCUUGAGUGCUGGAGAGGCAAUCGGAAUUCCGUGUGUAGCGGUGAAAUGCGUAGAUAUUAGGAGGAACACCAGUGGCGAAGGCGGCUUACUGGACUGUAACUGACGUUGAGGCUCGAAAGCGUGGGGAGCAAACAGGAUUAGAUACCCGAGUAGUC
rnacentral:rRNA from 1 species